CCAUUCCUUCUUUUUCUGAACCAGUUGCACUCCUCAUUCAACUUGGGAACAAGUUUAUCCCGCAUUGUAGAAAACGCCAAUUUUUUAAGCCGAAAUCCUUAAAAAACGCAUUAUUUUUUAUGAAUCCAAAAACAAUGGGUACUGAAAACAUUCUAACCUACUGUAUUUUACAAGUUAUCUGUCUCCCCGUGUUUCUUUUUCUGAGCUGCGCUUUUAAAUCCACGAAUGAAAACGGUUCUGGGUCCGAUAAUCAGUUACCGUCUCCAAAAAUCCUAUGUUCAACACGGAGAACGCCCUCGUUCAAGUUAUCGAGCUGUCGAAACCGUUUCAAGACAUGAAGUUUGGAUUUAGCACGUACUGUUCGGAGUACAUUGUUGGCUUAAUCGUAUCUGAUAUUACAUUAGGCAGCGUUGCCGAUCUGGGUGGGUUGCAGCGAGGUGACAAAAUUAUUCUCGUGAAUUCUCUAAAUAUCGCCAAAAUGUCGGGAAAAGAGGGCGCUGCUGCAGUUAAGAACGAGGCAGAGACAAAUGUGCACAUUCGCCUGGUGGUCGCGCGGCCGAUUCGAAAUGAUGCGUACAUCUUACCCAGUAAUGUUGUGGCGGAUGGGGAAAACCUUGACAAAUAUUUGGUCGAAGAGAGAAAAAUAAAUUUUGGGGGAAGCUUGAUUAAGAAAUAAUUUAUUUUGUUUACAUAUGGCGCUAAAUUGAUUAGUUAAAAUAUAAAACUUGUGCUAUGUAUUAAAAUUAUGAACCUAUGAAAGCAAUAUUUUCACUUGGUUGGAGAAUUUAUUAUUACAUAUUUUUGAAUGGAAAUAAUUAAUUUUUAAAUUUUAAAACGUAAGGAGAUCUCGGAAAUAAAUGGGUUGACAAUU